rnacentral:lncRNA from 1 species
UACAAUACAUGAAUAGAUACCCAUGCAGCUAUAACCAUUAACUCAUAAUACACACUUAUUCGAUCAGCUUUCCUUUUCCUUUGUUCGUGCCUGAGCCUUCAGGUUGCUCAUACAUAACUGAAAAUAUUUAAUUUAAGCAAGGAUGAGCAUUUGAGUGCCCAGAAAGUAAUAGCAAUUAUAUAUAUAAACUGAAAGAAUAUAAGUAUUCUCUUUACAUAACACUUCUACAACGAAUCAAAAGUUGUGAAGUAAUCUGUACUGAUAAAAGAUUCACAUAACAACUCUCUUUCAAAUUUUUGAAAUGAGG